AGAUAGUGACUGGCUACAUCGAAACGACUCAUACAAUCCCAUGCAGAUUGAUAAAGAUAACACAUAUGAAUACUCUGAUACAUGUAUAAAUCAAAGUGGCAUGAUUGACAUGACUGAUGCAUCACUUGAUAUAACCCCAGGUAUAUUGUUUUCUUUUUAUUAAUGUUAUCUAUUUGAGAAGAAAAAGUGUAGUUGGAAUUGUGGUUCAUGACAAUGUAAUAAGGAAUCAAUGUUAUUC